AAUGAAGUAAUUGAAGAAAAAGUUAUUUUAAUAGAACAACCAAAUAAACUUCAACUACUAAU
rnacentral:tRNA from 1 species